GGUCGGCGCGCCAAAAAGGGUCUCUGGAUAUUGGAGCUUCGGUCUCUCUCAGAGUAGGGGUUGUUGUCUGCUGUUUUCCUUACCUCACUCUAGGAAAUUUAAGUACUGACUUCCCCGUUACAGAUAUUGUGUAGAAGAACCGUCUUUCUUCGGCGCAGCUGUGAUCCUUUUGGCCCGGGGACCGUUGGCCCUCGCGAGUCGACUUUCGUAAUUAUCUAGGGCCACAGAACGGAGGGAACCGCCGUGUGGAACGGCUUGAGAGCGGGGUCUGGAUGCAGAGGAAGGCCGGAAAUUGUGUGUGUGGCUCUUCUGACUGGGUCCGCCCUGUAGACGUGUUACCUGUUGAGCCUGUGAUGCAGUUCUUGGUGAAAUGUAUGCUCUGUGAGUGUAGGAAGAUGGUGGUCUGCAAUGCACAGUACGCCUUACAAAGCCCGGCCCUGACACGCUGGUUGCUCGUUACCCAGGGAGCUCUCAGGAAGGGAAAUACUCGGCCCCGCUCCCAUGGUCACGAACCUGCCAGAGAACCGCCCCGGCAGAAAUUUUUGUUUUGAAAGAGUUUCGAAGAUGAAUGGUCGGAACCGUGUUACAACUCUUCUUGUGAUUCUGACCUCAUUUUAUUUGUUUAUAAUAAACUGGUUUAUUGUGCGCUGCUUUUCUCUCACUUCCCUGGUGGCUCAGAUGGUAAAGCGUCUGCCUACAAUGCAGGAGACCUGCAAUCUCUGGGUCAGGAAGAUCUCCUGGAGAAGGAAAUGGCAACCCACUCCAGUAUUCUUGUCUGGAAAAUCCCAUGGACGGAGGAACCUGGUAGGCUACAGCCCAUGGGGUUGCAAAGAGUCGAACACGACUGAGCGACUUCACUUUGACUUCACUUUAUCUCACUAGGGGGAUGAGAGGAGUUCAGAAAUGAGAUUUGAGAAAUUUCAUGAGUCCAUCUCUUGAAUUCUGCUAAUACAACUGAUGUGUAUACACUGGAAGACCUUCCAGAAUUUCUGAAGUUUACAUUUAUGCUGAAUUUUGGUCUGUGUUGGUUCAACCUGGUGUAGCAAGACAUAAGGUUCUUACAGCCAUUGUCCAGAGUAUAUGUGCUGCCGAAGCGAGCACGGGAGCAAGCUCUUUCCUGGAUCUUCUGACUGAAGCUCCCACAGUUCAACAGCCACCAGGAUCAGAAGCCACUAGGAUACCUCUGUCUCCUAUCCAAGUGAGGUUAGCCACUCUGGCCUCCGUCUGGACUCCAGCAAAGCAGAAACCUUCCUUGGGGGCGGCACAAAGCGGCCUUGAAAAGCCUGAAGGGGCCAGCCCAGCAGUGGCCACUCAGGUUAGAAGCCUGGAGCAGGAACAUCCCAUCAAACAGUUCAUGCCUCCUGGCCUCAGAAUUAUGUGCUGAAAAACUCAAGGACCAAUCCUCUGCUUUUAUAUUGAUUAACAAAUAAAUCAUGAGUGGCUCUGAAGGACAAUGAAGGGAUCUCCUCCAGUGGGUACAAUCCUUAUGGUGAACUUUACCAAGAAGGUGACAUUAUGUCAGCUCUACACCAGCUCACAGAUUAAAAGAAGAAUGAAUCAUUAAAUAGUUAAGCAUGACCAGCUGUGUACCCCCAGCAGCCCCCUUUGCAAUACUGCAGGCAGAUGACAUGGGCAAAGUGACAUCUGAAGAAAAGAUAAAGAGGAGG
ensembl:lncRNA